rnacentral:rRNA from 1 species
GUCUGCAAGCCAUCCUGAACAAGCCCGAUCCCAUCUGAUCUCAGAAGCUAAGUAGGAUUGGGCCUAGUUAGUACUUGGAUGGGAGACCACCUAGGAAGACCAGGUGCUGUAGGCG